rnacentral:rRNA from 1 species
UACGGGGGGAGCAAGCGUUGUUCGGAUUUACUGGGCGUAAAGGGCGCGUAGGCGGUCGCCCAAGUCAGUUGUGAAAUCUCCGGGCUUAACUCGGAAAGGUCAACUGAUACUGUGCGGCUAGAGUGCAGAAGGGGCAACUGGAAUUCUCGGUGUAGCGGUGAAAUGCGUAGAUAUCGAGAGGAACACCUGCGGCGAAGGCGGGUUGCUGGGCUGACACUGACGCUGAUGCGCGAAAGCCAGGGGAGCGAACGGG